rnacentral:rRNA from 1 species
CCAGCCGUAAACGAUGCGCGUUAGGUGUAUCGAUGACCACGAGUCAUCGAGGUGCCGAAGGGAAACCGUGAAACGCGCCGCCUGGGAAGUACGGUCGCAAGGCUGAAACUUAAAGGAAUU